GCAUGGCCCCGCACUCAAAAAAAUUGGAACUAUAUAGAGAAUAUUAGCAUGGCUUCUGCGCAAGGAUGACACGCAUAUAUAAAUCGAGAAAUAGUUCAAAAAAUUUU